AUCUCACACUCCGAAGACAUUCGAUAAAAUUGGAAUGAUUCAGUGAAGAUUAGCGUAGGCCCUGCGGAAAGAUAACACGCACAAAUCGAAAAAUGGUAUCAGAGCUAU